UACGAAGGGGGCGAGCGUUGUUCGGAUUUACUGGGCGUAAAGGGCGCGCAGGCGGCAGAUCAAGUCAGACGUGAAAGCCCCGGGCUUAACCUGGGAAUGGCAUUUGGGACUGCAAGGCUAGAGUGCGGCAGAGGAGACUGGAAUUCCUGGUGUAGCAGUGAAAUGCGUAGAUAUCAGGAGGAAUACCGAUGGCGAAGGCAGGUCUCUGGGCUGACACUGACGCUCAUGCACGAAAGCGUGGGGAGCGAACAGG
rnacentral:rRNA from 1 species